CGUAAUGGCUUAUGUAAACCGACUUACGAAAGUCCGAAUUUAUGUAGAAAAAACAAAACACCCGAGAUACAUAAAGUUUUCGGACGCGCUAACGCAAAAAACGCGACAUACGUAAUACGCAAGCCGCCGGACGCUUGGCCGCACUCCGCAAAGGUGACUUCCUGCAGCUUUCUAGUUCUUGCCUGUGUCUUGUUGUGAUCCAAUCAUUUAGCUGUACGGCUUGCUACUACCAGAAGGCUUGGAAGAUGCAGGACGCUUGGGAGCCAUCAUAGGGCUUAAAACAAAACGAAAACAAUCGGACCACAAGCAUGGGACUGGAGGGUGCAGCCCUAGAUGCAGACCCGAAACCAGAAGAAUAUUCCAGUUACUCAGCCCUACUCGAUCUGGUACGUUCUCAUCCAGCAAACACCGGGCUAUUAAUGAAUAUGGAAGGCCAUCCUGACCAGCCAGAUGAGGGUGCCAGUGAUGAUCCACCACCCACGGAUCACAGUGACCUCAAGAAGAACAAGCAAUGCCCUUGAAUGUUCUGAAGCUAGCAGCUGAGAUGCAGUGGGUAUGUAUUUUGUCACUAGUGGCAAAACCAUGUGAAACCCGAGUUUAUUGUAGCCAUAACAUUUAUUGCAUUCAGUUUAUACAUUGUAGUCUGCAUUAGCAUCUUAGCCCUUUGUAGUUUGAAGGGCUGAUUGUUUUGUCUCAUCUCAUGAUUCCUCUUUUUCAUCUCCAUGUGUGAUGAUGUAGCAUAAAGACUUGUAGUCGAUAUUUCCAGUUGCAUCAAUUGGUGCCACAGAGAAAGCCUGAUCCACCUAUAAAUUUCAUUAAAAGGGUUAUUUUAGCUCAGACAUUAUCGCUGAAUUGAAAAAAAAAGAUAUCUGAGUGACUAUAAUCUAUUGCAGUUUUUCAGGAAUUAGCCGAUUAAUACGUACCUCAUCAGAUGUAAAUUUGUCAGCCUGGUUCAUCAGCAGCCGCCGAAACCUUUCAGGCAAAGGAACAUGAACCACUUCUUGAAUGACCAGUAUAGUCUGUGAUGCAUGUUUAUCAUAUUGUCACACUUAUCCAUUUGACAAUUGGAGUCACAAUAUUACACAUUGGUUUCUUUUGAUUGUAAGGAAUCCACUUACAAAAUCUCUCACCAGUGAAGUUUCAGCGAAAUAAUUUAUCGUAUAGCAAAAUAAACUAUGUAAAGUAGACGUACGCUGGGUGUUAAGAAAUUAACAGUCCUUUUCCAUCCAAGACACCCUAUAAGACCCUCUUUAUCAAGAUAUUGUGACUAGGUGUGGUGAAUGAAUUUGCAUAAAAGGAUGGUCUCCUGCAGUGUAAGGAGCCUGAGGUGGGACAGGCGGCAGAAUAACCAGCUAGUCACUUUUCUGGCCACUGCUAAUUCUGUAGCUUCCUGUUCACCCUAGUGGUGCCCUAAACGGAACUCCCGUUCUUUUCCAGACUUUCCUGUGAUUAUAAUUUGCUAUCUGUAUUAAAAUCAUCAGCCAUGGACACUGGGGCAUCUUUCGUGCCUUUUCUUUGCUGUUGCUAUUUAAUUUCUUCUUUAUAUACUAGGACAUUAAGACCUAAAAGAUUCAUCCAUCCACCUUCUGACCACUUAUUCAGUACAGGGUUGGGGGGGGGGGUGCUUUUCCAGGCAGGGGCCUUGGACAGUAUACCACAUACCCUGGAGAACUGAGAAACACCAACAGACCUAACUGCUUAUCUUUGGCCUGAUUGACAUGGGAAGAACAUGCACACUCCACAUGUAAGGAGCACGUGGAAUUCCAACCCCAAGCCUGAAGGUGUGAAUCAUAGUGUCACUCCUAAGAGGUUCGUUAAAUAUACAAACAUAAAACAGCAAUUUAAAAUCUAUAACACAUGCUCUGAUCAUUCUAAACUAUAUAAUAAUAUUUAGUCUAAGUCCAUGAAAUGUUGUCAAAAAAGCCCUAAAUUUGUUUAUUUUGACACUCCAUAGGAUUGGAGUUCUUAUUGCUGGCAAGUAGUACUGUCAGUUUUCUGUUACAGUGAACACUCACUCAUCCUUGUUAACAAGACCCGUGCCAUCUGGGUCAAAGAGCUUGAAAGCAUUCAGAAUGGUUUCCUCCGGAUCCGUACCUAGGAAAACAAAGGGAGUCUUGCAUGGGUCACCGUCAGGUUUAGCCAAUUUUCUAAACGGACAGCUGGUCAAUGACCCUGCAAACUAUGCCAGAAUAUCAAGAAUAAGGAUUUUUAUUUUUAAAAUAAGUUACAUAUUCUGAUCUCACCCUUGACUAUGAUAAAUUGGAGAAAUUAACUAUAUUAUGCACUAUACUCUUAUUUACACUUUCCUGCUAAAACGUUAAGAAAAGCAAGUAGCUUUCCCAUCAAGGAUACUAGAUAAAUUAACAGGUUAUCAAAAUUGAGCUCCAUAAUCGUUAUUUUGAAUUCCAGCAGAGAUUCUCACCAUUGAGUUUCUCUCCAAAGAGUGUAAGAAAGACAGUGAAGUUGAUGGGGCCUUUUCCUUCAGCUAGCAUCUCUUCCAGCUCCUCAUCCUUCACGUUCAGCUUCCCUGUAGUAGGCACUGUGUUACGCCUUACACCACACACACAGAACUGGACAUCAGCUGGGGCAAAGCUUUACGGACUGAAGCCAAGGACCAUACCUAGCUGUGCGUAGGUUUCUUUAAGGUCCUGCUUUUUGAUGAUGCCAUCUCUAUCCUGGUCGAUACAGCUGAAAGCCUGCAAGUAUUUAAUUAUCAAGAUUGAUUUUCAACCCCGUGUAAUAUGAAUGUUUAUGUUUAUGAAUGUAACUAUAAUAUUCGUUGUGCUCUAUGAUGUGUAUUAUCUUAAAUAAUAUGGGCCUGAAUUCCAGCACUCUUGGCACAGUUUUUCCAUAAGUGAACAACCCUGAUCUUCACCCACCAACCUAACUAUAAUUAAAGACAAACUUUAAAGCCGAAGGGCUGGACAUGCAAAGCUAUACAGCAUACCUCCUUAAACUCCUGGAUCUGUGACUGUUCAAACAUGGAGAAGACGUUGGAGGAGCCCCUCUGGGUACGUUUAGCAGCAGCUUUGCCUUUUGCUUUCUUGCUGGCCUGAUUCAGAGGGAACAUCCGGUUAAUAUUUCACUUUUAGUCUGACUUAUGGCAGACCACGUUGAGGAAAAACCUGCCCAAAUAUGUAUACAAACAUAGCAAUUAACACCUUAGCAGAAAAUUAAAUGGCAAAGUCCGCAAAGUAUUGUAGACUUUUUAAUGCUAUGAUUUCUUCACUUUUUUUUCCUAAAUCUGUUUUUUGCAGAAGUCUUCCAGUAGCUGUUAGCAGUGGACAUCAUACUCACCAUGUCUGCUGUGGAGAUGCCUCUGUGCCCAAGGCCAUAGUCAAACUUGUGGUGGAUAUAAGUAUGGCACCCCUUAUCAGCUCCUCUCCUAUAAUAAGAAGGUGUUGGAACCUGCAGCCCCUUACAUGGAAAUCAUCAUCCCCUUAGACCCAGUGACUAUGAUAAGUGCCCAAUUGCUUGAAUUCCUAUGGGGUGGAACUGAGAUAGGGAUUGGGAGGGGCUUGUCAAAAUGGCCUCAUUAUCACAGGGACGUCUCUGCACAGAAGUGGAGUGAAUAUAGAGGAAAAUCUACAAAUCAGCUAAUUUGUGAAUGUGCGUGAUGUUUCUAGGGAACGUUUCUCUGCAUGUGAAUCCCAUGUGAACUCAUUUACACUCUUUUGUUGCAGGUUAUCGAAUACCUAAUAGAACCAAUGUACUGUAAAAUUAAGGCAAAAUGAAAGGGGGUUUCUGUCUUGUAUCUGACAGGUUGAGCGCGUCGUUGGCUCAUCUUCAAUGGGGUCAUCCUUAUUAGGCGCCUCUGUUAAAUGUACCCAAGAUAAUCAUCCUCAUUUUCAAACGAAAGCCUUGGUCAGGCAGAUUGUCUGCUGAAAUGUAGAAAAAUCUCACCAUCUUGCACUUGGUAGUAAGUUAUUAGUAUGCACCAGCUUACAAAGUAUACCUUUCCUCAAACCACUUCUGGCACAAAACAGACCAUUUAGAGCUCAAUGGAAUGAAGGCUUAAUAAGAGAUGUUUCAUAGGUGAUUCAGAAUCAUACCUGUAGUUCAAAUCUUUUUAUUUACAUUAUACACAAUGUCCAACCGUUUGAUUUAAUAAAUACACAAUAAACAAGUCGAUAUGUAGAAUUAAA